rnacentral:tRNA from 1 species
CGGGGUGUGGCGCAGCCUGGUAGCGCACCUGCCUUGGGCGCAGGGGGUCGGAGGUUCAAAUCCUCUCACCCCGACCA